GCAGUUUGCAAUGAUGUGGCUGAGAUACCCUUGUGCUGUUACUUUAAAGGUACAUUUACGUAUCUUUCAACGCAGUUUGUACCUUUGUUCAGGGUUCUAUUGAACUUUCUCUGUGCUCUUUAGAAAACUGUCGAAUAAAGAACUCAAAUGAUGCUGUUUUUGGACAGGGAGGUCAUGGGCCAAGCACAAAGCGGCAAAAGGGUGGAAUUGAGGUACCUGACAUUGCUGAACCCAUGCCUGAUGCCACAUUAGCUCAGGACUACCUACAUGGACAUGGAUAUUUCCAGUGAAAGAAAGAAGAAAGCAUCCUUUUCUCUUGACUGUGCAGAAAAAAAUUCUAUGUUUCUUUGAUUCUCCAUUUUACUAGAUGCCAUACCUUUGUAAUUACUUCAUGUGGAGUCUUGACCAAGAUUCAGGAAAUACUAGAGCUUUCAGUCCCGGAAGGUUACUCUGGGCAUUACUAGUCCCCAUCAUUAUGAGUUGAGUUUUACUAGUUAAUUUCAGAUGAAAAAUAUUUGUCUUUCCCCAAAUUCUGGGGUUAUGUAUUUUACUACCUAUGAACUGACAACUGUAUCUCCAGUAAUUACAAUUUCCAACAAAAUGUUAUAGGAAUAAAG
rnacentral:lncRNA from 1 species